rnacentral:rRNA from 1 species
UGGGGAAUAUUGCACAAUGGAGGGAACUCUGAUGCAGCGACGCCGCGUGAGUGAAGAAGUAUUUCGGUAUGUAAAGCUCUAUCAGCAGGGAAGAGAAUGACGGUACCUGACUAAGAAGCACCGGCUAAAUACGUGCCAGCAGCCGCGGUAAUACGUAUGGUGCAAGCGUUAUCCGGAUUUACUGGGUGUAAAGGGAGCGCAGGUGGCAUGGCAAGCCAGAAGUGAAAGCCCGGGGCUUAACCGCGGGACUGCUUUUGGAACUGUUGUGCUGGAGUGCAGGAGGGGUAAGCGGAAUUCCUAGUGUAGCGGUGAAAUGCGUAGAUAUUAGGAAGAACACCGGUGGCGAAGGCGGCUUACUGGACUGUAACUGACACUGAGGCUCGAAAGCGUGGGGAGCAAACAGGAUUAGAUACC